rnacentral:rRNA from 2 species
UACGUGGGGUGCAAGCGUUGUUCGGAAUUACUGGGCGUAAAGCGCGUGUAGGCGGCUUAUUAUGUCAGGUGUGAAAGCCCUCGGCCUAACCGAGGAAGUGCGCCUGAAACUGAUAAGCUUGAGUACGAGAGAGGAGGACGGAAUUCCCAGUGUAGAGGUGAAAUUCGUAGAUAUUGGGAGGAACACCGGCGGCGAAAGCGGUUCUCUGGAUCGAUACUGACGCUAAGACGCGAAAGCGUGGGGAGCAAACAGG